AUGGAGGCGGCGGGCUCCAGUUCGUCCCGGCCGCCGAAGCGCCGCCGGCCCGGGCUGCGGCCGUCGGCGCCUCUGGAGGUGGCCGGCGCGAGGACGCCGUACAUGCCGUCCCUCUGCACCAACUCCAAGAACCCGUCCACCAAAUGCUACGGUGACAGAUUCAUACCAGAUAGGUCAGCGAUGGACAUGGACAUGGCAUAUUACCUCCUUACGGAACCUAAGAAGGGGAAGGAAAAUGAAGCCGUGGUAUCACCGGCUAAAGAAGCAUACAGGAGGCUUCUUGCUGACAAACUCCUGGGCAGCAGAACCAGGAUUCUUGCCUUCAGGAACAAGCCACCAGAACCUGAAGGGAUGCUGCCACAGAUUUUAUUUGAAACUCCGACUUCCAGUCAGACCAAGCCUACUAAACAGCGCCGAAAGAUUCCCCAGUUUGCUCAGAGGACGUUAGAUGCCCCUGGAGUGGUUGAUGAUUACUAUCUUAACGUGCUGGACUGGGGAAGCAAAAAUGUGGUGUCCGUUGCCCUUGAGAAUACCUUGUACUUGUGGAAUGCAUCUGAUAGCUCUACUUCUGAGCUUGUGACUGUUGACGCUGACUAUGGUCCCAUCACUAGUGUCAGCUGGGCUUGUGAGGGGCAACAUAUUGCCGUUGGCCUUAACUCUUCUGACAUCCAGCUCUGGGAUACGAGCUCUAAUCGCAUGCUGAGAACACUCCGAGGUGUCCAUGAGUCAAGGGUUGGUUCACUGGCUUGGAACAGUAGCAUCCUGACAACCGGUGGAAUGGAUGGCAAGAUCGUGAACAAUGAUGUCAGGAUGAGAUCCCAUAUGGUUCAGACAUACCGAGGGCAUGAAGCAGAGGUAUGUGGGUUGAGGUGGUCAGGAUCUUUGCAGCAAUUGGCGAGUGGUGGAAACGACAAUCUGGUGCACAUAUGGGAUGCAUCAAUGGCGUCUUCUAAUCCAUCUGUGGGUUACAAUAGAUGGCUCCAUAGGUUUAGUGACCACUUGUCUGCAGUGAAGGCUCUUGCCUGGUGUCCAUUCCAGAGCAAUCUACUUGCCUCUGGUGGUGGUGGAAAUGAUCGAUGCAUCAAAUUCUGGAACACACACACUGGUUUAUGUCUGAAUUCUGUUGAUACUGGGGCCCAGGUAUGCGCACUGCUCUGGAAUAAGAAUGAAAAGGAGCUAUUGAGCGCCUGCGGGUUUGUACAGAAACCACUCACAUUAUGGAAGUACCCGUCGAUGGUUAAAUUGGCCGAACUCGAAGGCCACACUUCACGUGUCCUCUGCUUGGCACAGAGCCCUGAUGGCUCCACGGUAGCCUCCGUUGCAGCAGAUGAGACUCUAAGGUUCUGGAAUGUGUUUGGAACUUCUGAAGCACCGAAACCUGCAGCCAAGACCGUGCACACUGGAAUGUUUAGUUUCAGUCAUAUCAGAUGA
rnacentral:rRNA from 1 species